UUUAAAAUUUCUGGGACUUAAAUUUAUGAAAAUGGUCUUUGGAAGUAUUUUUGAUAUAGUGAGCUCAAUUGACUUCUAAGUUGAUGGCUUUUUUAUUUUUAUUUUAUUUUUAUUUAUUUAUUUUUGCUUUGCUUUGGAGUGUCUUCACAUAACUUGGACUGGCCUUGAGAUCAUGACCCUGCAGCCUCAGUCUCCUGAGGACUGGGACUACAGGUGUGUAUGACCAUGCUGGACGUUCUACCUGCGUGUUUGGCUGUACCAUAUAUGUGCCUGGUGCCUGUGGAGAUUAGAGGAGGGCAUCAGGUACCCUGAGGCUGGAGUUGCACAGUUGUUAAUUGCCAUGUAGGUAAUUGGAAUAGAACCCAGGGCCACUAGAAGAUCAUUACCAUCUCUUUAGCCCCUAAGUUAAUAUUUUUAAUAAGUAUGGAAAUGUUAACAUUUUGCUAAAUUAUGAUUGAAAAAUUAACAUGUUCCCACCAUUUUUUUUGAUGAUUAUCUUUGAGGCUUCAUGUGUUCUUUUGAAUGCUUUUGCUUUAACACAGCUAUUAAGUAGGAAAAUUGAUGUUUAAACUAGAAUUUUCACUUUCAUGAGAUAAUUUUAUACUUUUCAAAUAUGUGCCUCCAUGUUUAAAAUGUAUUCUACUGUAAAUUUUGAUGUCAUUAUAUCAUUUACUUAUUCGUACAGUAUGAGUAAAGCAAACAUUUACCCUGCUACAAAAUUUGAUCUUUUUGCAUCAAUUCUCUAUGUCAUCUCAUCUUUUCUGCUUUUUCGCUGUCUUCCAUUAGAGCUAAUAGAACCUUCUCCAGAGAAAAGGUUAAUCAUUUUCGCUUAGAUGUUUAACUUCAGACUAUCCUUUUUUGGGGAUAGGGGAGAUACAGUGAAACAUAUUAAGUAACAUUAUUUCAUUAAAACCUAAAGGAUGUGAAUUAGUUCAGUGGUGAACAGGAGUGUAUAGGAUACUUAGAACAAGGGUGACAUCUCAAACUUUUUUGUAUGCUGUGAUUUCAGUGUAUUUCUUCAUCAAUAGCUAGUAUCUUAAAGUCAGAAAUAACUAAAUGUAAUUUUAAUAUAAAGACUGGUUGCCUCAGGAAACUUCCUUAGUUUGGUAAGUCUAUUGAGUGGGUGAUACAUUAACAAAAAUAAAUAUUUACUAUUCUUUUAUUUUUUAUCAUAAAGAAUGUUCUGUCAUGCAGAGCUGAAGAUGUUCACAGGUGGUUUAUUUAACCACUUUCUGUGUUUUCACAUACAGAAUCCUGGCCUAAACUCUCCCAUAACUGUUAGUUUACUUAAUAUUCUCCAUGUUAAAAUUGUGUCUUCAUUUUACAAGUGAGAAGGUAAUGGUGCAAGCGUUUGUCUUUAGUUGAGGAGACAGAUGUGUAAGAAAAGUAGGUAACAAUCUUAGUCCUCGGAAGCAACAGAAAGCUGUGCCGGAUCUGAGGAAAAUGGGUCUAUUAGGAGAGAACAAGAGACUGAGCUGGGCCCAGGAUGGAGAGCAGCAGGCCCUCUUUCCAGUGGCUCUGGAGCACAGGGCAGAUGUUCUCAGGUUUCAGUUGAGGGUUCAGACUGCCAGGUGGAGGAGGCUCCUGCUCUAGGGCUGCAGGAGCCCUCAUGUCUUCCUCCUCCUGGCGUUUUCUGGCUGACUCAGGCAGUUUUGCCCCAGGAGGGUUUUCCUUCUCCCUCUGUUGGAAGCCUGAGCUUUGGAAAUAAUAGAUUUUUUUUUUAGCCUCAGGCCAGUUCAUCCUCCCCUUGCCCAUUGUAUAUUCCUGUGAAAAUAAGUACUCAGUCGUGAUUUUUAUGUGCAUAUUGUAUGAAACUUAGAGAUUGAUAGUAAGUAACAGAAUUAAAGGGCAAAGCAGUCUUUUCUGUUUGAAUUCAGGAGAGAAGGUGAGAGAGCAGUUAAAUGUAGAAAAAAAGGGAGAAAAGAAACAUUGUGGAAAUGAAGAGAUAAAUUGGGAGCAGGAGGAUGAUGGGAAAGGAAAGGAGAGACUUGCUGAUUUGCAUCACACCCACACCUCCUCCCCAAAUUCACAGAAACAGGCAAUGUCACUUUCUUUUUCAUGACGUGUGCUGAGCCAGGGAGUUGAGAAUCGUGGGAGUGGAAAUUUUCUUCCUUUUGCAUUUUGAGACUUGGGUGUGCUGCUAAGAUGCCACUGGUAUCUGAGUACUGUUUGUUGAUACUGGAUAUUUCUGUGUAGCCUUUGUGGAUGGGCUUAUAACACAAACAGUGCUGUUAGAAGGAUUGCAGGUACUCCAGUGCUGUGUUUAUUUUACUAGUUAAAAAAUUGCCAGAGCCCUAAGACUUCUGAGCACAUUUAGAAAACACCAGAGGCAACUUUAAGAAUAGCUUUAGUAAAAAAGAAAGAAAGGAAAUUAAGACUUAGUGCUGACCGACAUGUAAGUUUUUCUUCAGAGAGCAUAAGUUAGGGUCCAGCAUUUUAAAAACUUAAAUGUAAAAUAGUUUUUUUGUAAUAUUACCUUCUUAAUUGUCUAGAUAAAAGUGCAGCACUUUUAUUCCACAGAAUAUGAGAUUAAAGUUAGAAAGAAUUUGGAGGGAUUUUAGCCCGAUUUUUAAGUUCCAUUUUGGUCAUGUAUAAAGAUCCUUGAUCAGAUCAUGGGUCUCAAAUUAUUUCUUCCUGAUUUAUGAUUGUAAUAGGACAGAAUAAUUGAAAUUAUAACCAUUUCACAAAAUCUAAGAUACAUUGCCAGUCUUAUUUUUAAACUCUCUGGUAACUCAUUUUAUGCCUCUUCCUCACUUUUUUAUCUUACUAGCUGUAUAAAAAGUAGAUUACUCAUUCACAUUUAUGAAAAAAUAGUUGCUUUGAAUAACAAAAUGUCGAGUUAAAUCGUAAACUGUUGAUUUGGACAAAGUAAUAGCUGAGUGACUGUUUGUUUCCCAGGUAGAGAAGCAUCUGACAGGGUUUGUUUAGUUCUCCAUCUGUGAAAUAAUGUGAAUUAACCAUGCUUUUCCCAGUCAGUGCAUAGCCCUGGCAUUCUGUUCAAGCAUUCAUGGACUCUGGGAAGCAGAAAGGGGCAGGCAGAUUUUCUUUCUUAUUUUCCUUGUAUCUAAUUCUUGUACUUGUCCAUUCUUCGCUAUUGUCAUGGAAACUUCCCCCUCCUCUGACACUGUUCUCAUUACACUCUAGAUUGCCACUGUGCCCAGUUUUCCACAUUAGGCAGAACUGGAACCUGGGCCUACAAGCAUGUAGAAAGGGUCCCAGCUUUCUUGGACUCUUCUCCCAGAAGCAUGAGCUGCAUAGUGCUGCUUAUUUAUUGCCGCUGUUUGUUCCUAUGUCUGCUGUUCGCCUGGCUUGAGCUGUCUUUUAACCUCCACUCUUAAUGCUUAACUUUACAAGUGAAAUUUGAGCCAGUCACACUGGAAAUGUCAGCCAUCCCUAGUGGGUCAAUUCACAUUCAUCACAGAUCUACUGAGUACUUAUUAAGUGGGUAACUAUUUUUUACAUAGGAGUAUUUUUUUAUCUUGCAGGUUUAUAGUUACUUCAUGAAAUUUUUAAAAAUUCUUACUUAAAAGCCACUUAGCUUUAGAUAACCCCAAACAAACACUUUUUAAUCAAAUAUUAACUUCCCAUAAAACUCUCCUAAUUUUCAGGUAAGCAAGCUAUUUAUUCUCUUAUGAAACGAUACAGAGUUGUGAAAGCUGAUUCAAAGGUUGGACUCUGAAUAAGACUUUUGUCCUGAUUUUCUAUGUGCUUUAUUGCUAUUUGCCUUCGGCAUAAGGUAUGUGAUCCUCCUUUGUUCCCUGCUUGCAUCUGUGUUUCUUACCAAAUGGCACUGUAGGCAAGUUCUACAGGAAGCUUUCUAAGUUAGCUUCUAACUGCUGUGUCUGUAACUGUACUUUCAAACAGCUGUGUAAUGCUGCUAUUUUAAAAAAAAAUGUGGGUGUGGAAAGUGGUGGUGAAAUGAAUUCAGGGUAAUUGGUGACUUUGUAUUAAGAGAAAAAAAAUCACUGGUUAAGAGAAAUCCGCUUCCAUGAUUUAUAUAUCUUUAAUUUUAAAAUCUUUCAACCCAUCUUUACUCUGUUUCCACUGUAUUUCAUAAAUUUAAAAAAAAAAUCAAGAAAUUAGUCAUGGCGCUUGAUAGCUGUAAGGAUUUUAUAGAAAAUUUUAUUAACCCUCUUAUUGAGAAAAUUGACAUCCAGUGUAGUCUAAUGAAAUCAGGUAACUAGCUGGUUUAAAAGCCUAAAUAACAUUUUAGUAGUUUGUUUCCAUUAGUAUAUACUGUUCUAUUUAAGCUUCCUUAGCCUUCUAAUAAUCAGAAAAGGACAGUCCAGGAACAUAACUACUAGUUAGGGACAUGUGUUCUUUGUCUUCUUACACACACCUUGGUCACUUCUCCAGGAAGGUCUGAUGAGCAGGUAUUACUGUUUCCUUUCAUAGAGAAAGCAGCUCGGGCUCAAAGUUACAGAUCUCCCCUACCCCCCAGGUGUCUGCUAGGUAACCCUGUGUUUCUUGUCUUCCUGUAAUUUAAGAUUCACCAGCUGGUCUUGGAGAAUUCUCACAGGGGAGAGUGGGGAACAGCAUCUUGAUGUUGUGACUUCUGCUUCUUUGUUGAGUUGUAAGCUCCCAAAAGAUGUUGUCUAAUUGUUAAAAAGAUGCAUCUUAAGAAUUCUCUUACUGAUGUCUUGAAGAUUCAGCCAGCAUAUACUAAGCACCCACUUUCUGCAGGGCACCUCUUGGGGCACUUCUAUAGAUGGCAGGAGAUCGAAUCAUGGCCACGGGCAAAGACUAAAGGUAGUUUCUUUCCUUUCAAAGACUUGCCUUUGUAGGGAGGUGUGAAAGAUACUAGUCCCUGUGUCUGAAAUUGGUCAGCUCUUUCUAAAUUUCUGUAUUAAAGUUCAUAUUAAAGUAAUGUACAUCAUAUAGAAAAACAAGGAAGUGAGUUUUUCAUAGUAACAGUUAUAUGACUUGGUUAUUGUCUUGACUUUCUUUUUAUUGAUAACAUAGCUAGUACUCUCAUCGCAUAACUUUGAAAGCAUUGUCAUAAGUGCUUACAGAAUGAAUCAAUUUGGUAAUAUGACAUUCUGGGUAUUUUAUGGCAGUUGAUUAUUAUUAAAGACUAGACUAACCUUGCCUUUUAAAUGCUUUCAAAGAAAAUUAGUUAAGUAGUAGACUACUCUAUAAUAUUUAACAAUACCAAAUCAUUUAAGUUACUAAUAUAUAUAUAGUUAUACAUAUAUAGUUACAUACACACACACACACACACAUUCUGGACAGUUGGCCUAAGUUAAAAAUAGAUGUUUUCCAGUUACUGAUACUGGUUAACAGACUUUUUUUUUUUAAUUUUCAUUUUUUUAAAUAAAGUCUUACUGUGUUAUCCAUGUUGGUCUUGAACUCUGGUCCUUCUAAAACUACAAGUGUGUAGCAGCUCCAACUCAAAUACUUGUUUUGAGACAGUUUCCCUGUGUAGCCCUGCCUGACCUGAAACACCUUAUAUAUUCUUAGUAGCGAGGCUAGCCUCAGAUUCUGCCUCCUGAGUGCUAUGAUUACAAGUGUACUUCACUGUGCCUGGUAAAAUAAAUAUUUUUUUUAAAAGGCAGCAUUUGUUAUAAAAUGGUUCACAUCUGAAACAAUAUAUUAUCCUGAAGGAAUAAUACUGAUCAUGCUGAGUUUUUAUAGCGUGGGAAUUAUAGCUUUAGUUUUGUUUUUAAAGUAGUUCAGUAUUUGAGCUCAUUUCUGCCAUGUGAUUGUUAAUAAUAAAACUUAAAUGUACUUGAUAUUCCUUUAGAAGCAUUCUGUAUUUCAGCAGAAGCAGGAGGGUAUUUCUGUUCUUUGGAAGGAGCCUAAUUGAGCAAAGUCUGGCAGAAAGAGCUGAGCCAGCAGCCUGUGGUCUGAGGGAGGUUGCCUGGGAACUGCUGACAGUGAGAGAAUGGGAGUGGAAUUCAGAACAUUCAGAUGUGGAGUUAAUGUGCGUCACUGCUGCCAGCCCCUGCUGCCAGCGAUAGGUUCUGUGUUUUUCCAGUGGGAAACUCAGAUCCACCGACUGAUCCUGCAGACCGGCACCUCCUUGCCUUUUCUGCUUUCCUCCUGAUUGUUGCUUAUUCCUUCAAACAUCAGCUGACUGGACAAGGCCUCUAUGAACGCGGGUUUCAGAACAAAGGUGAUCUGUAGAAGCAGCACGUCACAGUGCUUCGAAAUGUCUCAUGAGUGGUGUGCUUCCGAUAAUGACACGGGAACAGAAUCCAUUCUCGAGCAGAGAGGAGGGUGAGUUUUUUUUCCGUGCUAAUGAUCCAGGAAUGGAGCACUCCCUGGGAAGCCCUCAGGAAAGGUCUUGUACAAAUCAAUACUGCCAGUCAAGUGUUUCUUCCACUGGGGAUAUCAAGGCUAAAACUCACUGGGCAGGAAAAUUCAGGACUGGACCC